rnacentral:rRNA from 1 species
AUUGAACGCUGGCGGCAGGCCUAACACAUGCAAGUCGAACGAGUGGCGGACGUGUGAGUAAUGUCUGGGAAACUGCCUGAUGGAGGGGGAUAACUCCUGGAAACGGUAGCUACUACCGCAUACCAUCAGAUGUGCCCAGAUGGUAUUAGCUGGUUGGUGGGGUAAAGGCGCACAACGGCGACGAUCCCUAGCUGGUCUGAGAGGAUGACCAGCCACACUGGAACUGAGACACGGUCCAGAAGCAUACGGGAGGCAGCAAUGGGGAAUAUUGCACAAGGGGCGCAAGCCUGAUGCAGCCAUGCCGCGUGUAUGAAGAAGGCCUUCGGGUUGUAAAGUACUUUCAGCGGGGAGGCGUUACCCGCAGAAGAAGCACCGGCUAACUCCGUGCCAGCAGCCGCGGUAAUUC